UUCAUUAAAUAAAUUUUCUAAAAUGACUAAUUUUUGUUGGGAGGUCCCAAUGAAAGUUAACUGCCAAAGCAAAAUUUCUACCUUUUGAUAAUAUAUGACAGAUUUGACUUUGUUGUGUGCUAACCAAGAAAAGAAAUUUAACUCUGUAAGAACUAUGAUCCCCAAAGUGAAAAUUUGGGGGACUCUGUCAUCUCUUCUGCCUCCAUAUUCUAUACUUCCCCCUUCCAUUCUGCGUCUUAAUCUAGGUCAGAGUAUCCCAAAAGGAUAAAGAAGGGGAUCUUGCAUGUCUAAGUUCAUAUUUCUCACAAUCCAAAGAUCAAGAAGAUACUAAAGACAAUUAAAUACAAUACACAAGCAAAAUGGAGGGUGAGAUCGGCAGCUUCAUCAAGGUCUGGUUAUCUGUCUUGACAUCUCUAUGCUACUGCUACGCCAUUGGCAAGAUGGUUCCGAAAGGAACCAAUAGACUCAUUUUCCUACUCCCUGUUGUGUGUCUCUUUCUCUUCCUCCCUCUCAAUCUCUACUCGCCGAAUCUUGGCGGUGUGACAGCCUUUUUCAUUGCUUGGCUUGGUAACUUCAAGCUCUUACUAUUUGCCUUUGACAAAGGCCCUUUGCUUGCACAUACCUCUCUUCCACUUUUUCUGGCUGUGGCUUGCCUACCCAUCAAGAUCCAACGCAACCAACCUUCAAAAUCACAGCUAAAUGGCCAAGUUAAAGAAAACCCAUCAUCAAAAUCACAUCAGAACGGCCAUGAGAAAGAAAAUUCAUCUACUAGAAAAUCCAAGGAAGGAGCUGUAAACUAUGCCAUAAAGGGUCUGCUUUUGGUCAUUAUGAUACGAGUCUAUGACUACAGCGAGUACAUGCACCCAAAGAUCAUAUUGCUUCUUUACUCUAUGCACAUGUAUUUCCACCUCGAGAUCAUCUUAGCCAUAAGUGCAGCCAUGGCUCGAUCCCUUUCGAGGCUAGAGCUCGAGCCACAGUUCAAUAAGCCGUACCUGUCGACCUCACUGCAAGAUUUUUGGGGCAAAAGAUGGAACCUCAUGGUGACCAGUAUCCUGCGGCCCACGGUGUACGAACCUACCCUCCGAUUUUCCUCGACUCUGAUCGGCAGAAAGUGGGCUCCGAUCCCAUCUGUUUUGUCCACGUUUGUAGUCUCUGCUCUCAUGCACGAGCUAAUGUUCUACUACCUGGGGCGGAUGACUCCCACCGGGGAGGUGACGUUGUUUUUUCUCAUCCAUGGAUUCUUUCUGACAGUGGAGAUUGCUCUGAAGAAGGCAUUGAACGGCAAGUGCCGGCUGCCGCGGCUAGUCACGGGACCGUUGACAGUGGGGUUCGUGCUGGGCACGGGCUUCUGGCUGUUCAUCCCACAGUUCACGCGGUGCAAGGUGGAUGUUAGAGCGUUUGAAGAGUAUGCGGAAGUGGGCACUUUGUUGAAAAGUGCAAGUGAAAAGGUACUUGGGAUUUUGUCAGCAAAAUAAAAGGUUCUGAACCUGUAUCUGGGACUCAAGCAAAUGGAAUCCUAAAAGUAGCUUGUGAGUUUCAAUCCAAAUGGAAAAGAUUCUCAAGAAAAUUGCCUCGCAAAAGGAAGAACAGUGACUUGACAAAGGGGGUUGAUGAUAUUGAUGGCUCCCUAACAUUGUUGCAACACAGGCAAACAGCUCUAAACAGGGUUUAAGGAUUGUUGCAACACAGGCAAACAGCUCUAAACAGGGUUUAAGGUUCGUUGGAUUGCAGUCACUUAUAGAUAGAUUGGCAACUGAACACUUCCCAACUUAAACAUCAGUCAUUGCCAAUAACUUUCAUCAUAAAUAUCUGUUGCUAUAUUUUGUAAAAUGUUUUAAUGAUACAGAAUCAUUGAAUAUGUAAUGCUAAUUGUUAUAAACAUGAUGAUUUGUAACAAGAACCAGAAGGAAAGUGAAAGUCCUUAUAAAAUGUACCAUGUGGAGACUGCAGAAACAGCCCAAGUUAAUCAUUUGGUAGUUGCUUUUCUUA